rnacentral:rRNA from 1 species
AACGAACGCUGGCGGCGCGCCUAAUACAUGCAAGUCGAGCGAGAAGGUGUAGCAAUACACUUGUAAAGCGGCGAACGGGUGAGGAAUACAUGGGUAAUCUACCAUCGAGUGGGGAAUAACCAACCGAAAGGUUGGCUAAUACCGCGUACGCCUCCGAGUCUUCGGGUUCGGAGGGAAAGCUGCACUGUGAGUGUAGCGCUCUUUGAUGAGCUCAUGUCCUAUCAGCUUGUUGGUAGGGUAACGGCCUACCAAGGCUUUGACGGGUAGCUGGUCUGAGAGGACGAUCAGCCACACUGGCACUGCGACACGGGCCAGACUCCUACGGGAGGCAGCAGUAAGGAAUAUUGCGCAAUGGGCGAAAGCCUGACGCAGCGACGCCGCGUGGGGGAUGAAGGUCUUCGGAUUGUAAACUCCUGUUAAGCGGAGAAAGCCUUGUUCUAAUACAAGCAAGGUAUGACGGUACCGCUAGAGAAGCACCGGCUAACUUCGUG